CCUGGCGGCCGUAGCGCGGUGGUCCCACCUGACCCCAUGCCGAACUCAGAAGUGAAACGCCGUAGCGCCGAUGGUAGUGUGGGGUCUCCCCAUGUGAGAGUAAGGAACUGCCAGGC
rnacentral:rRNA from 1 species